CCAGGUUGUAGCGUGAAUCAGCCCUUCAUUCCAUAUUUUGGCUGAUUAAUGUUCCAUCACACGGGUGGACUGUACUUGUUCGCCCAUUCAUCUGUUGUUGAUAGGCAUUUGUGUUGUUGCCACCUUUUGACAAUUAUGAAUAAUUUUGCUACGAGCAUCUGUGUGUGUCUUUGUAGGAACAGGCUUGCAUAUUUUUUGAUAUGGGCAAAUGAGAACUAGUGGCGGGAGGCCUUUGUGGUGAAUUUUUUGGUGAUCUUUGUGUACUCUGUGUAAUGAUCAGCUACGCAGGCUUGGGGGCAGCACUUAACCUUCCAUUUCUUUCUUUUUUUUAAGAUAGGGUUUCUCUCUCUGCCACCCAGGCCAGAGCGCAGUUGACGCAGGGCAGGGGAGCCCCCAAGUGGAGCAUAGUGUGUCCGGAACUGGUGGGUUCUUGGUCUCACUGACUUCAAGAAUGAAGCCACAGACCCUCGCGGUGAGCGUCACCGUUCUUAAAGGCGGCGUGUCCGGAGUUUUUUCCUUCUGAUGCUCGGAUGUGUUCAGAGUUUCUUACUUCUGGUGGGUUCAUGGUCUCGCUGGCUUCAGUAGUGAAGCUGCAGACCUUCAAGGUGAGUGUUACAGCUCUUAAGGCUGCGUGUCUGGAGUUGUUUGUUCCUCCCAGUGGGUUCAUAGUCUCACUGGCUUCAGGAGUGAAGCUGCAGACCUUCAAGGUGAGUGCUACAGCUCAUAAAGGCAGUGUGGACCCAAAGAGUCAGCAGCAGCAAGAUUUAUUGCAAAGAGCAAAAGAACAAAGCUUCCACAGUGUGGAAAGGGACCCCAGCGGGUUGCCACUGCUGGCUGGGGCAGGUUGCUUUUAUUCUCUUAUCUGGCCCCACCCACAUCCUGCUGAUUGGUCCAUUUUACAGAGAGCCGAUUGGUCUGUUUUACAGAGAGCUGAUUAGUCCGUUUUGACAGGGUGCUGAUUGGUGUGUUUACAAUCCCUGAGAUAGACACAAAAGUUCUCCAAGUCCCUACUAGAUUAGCUAGAUAGAGAGUGUCCAUUGGUGCAUUCACAAACCCUGAGCUAGACACAGGGUGCUGAUUGGUGUGUUUACAAACCUUGAGCUAGAUACAGAGUGCCGAUUUGUGUAUUUACAAUCCCUCAGCUAGACAUAAAGGUUCUCCAAGUCCCCACCAGACUCAGGAGCCCAGCUGGCUUCACCAAGUGGAUCCCGCACCGGGGCCAGCAGGUGGAGCCACCUGCCGGUCCUUCGCCCAGCGCUGGCACUCCUCAGCCCUUGGGUGGUUGAUGGGACUGGGCGCUGUGGAGCAGGGGGCGGUGCUCUCUGAGGAGGCUCGGGCCACGCAGGAUCCCAUGGCGGGUAGAGGGGAGGCUCAGGCAUGGCGGGCUGCAGGUCCCGAGCCCUACCCUGCAGAGAGGCAGCAAAAGCCCAGCGAGAAAUUGAGCACAGCAGCCGCUGGCCCAGGUGCUAAGCCCCUCACUGCCCAGGGUCGGCAGGGCUGGCUGGCCGCUCUGAGUGCGGGGCCUGCCGAGCCCAUGCCCACCCGGCACUCGCGCUGGCCUGCAAGCGCCGUGCCCAGCCCCGGUUCCCGCCCGCGCCUCUCCCUCUACACCUUCCCGCAAGUUGAGGGAGAUGCCUCCAGCCUCGGCCAUCCCAGGAAGGGGCUCCCACAGUACAGUGGUGGGCUGAAGGGCUCCUCAAGUGCUGCCAAAUUGGGAGCCCAGGCAGAGGAGGCACCGAGAGUGAGCUCCAGGGCUGCCAGAACGCUGUCACCUCUCAAUAGCACAUGAGGGUUCUUGCCUUUGCUCAGGAAAGAAUUCAAGGGCAAGCCGGAGGUUUAGAAGAAAACAGCUUUAUUGAAGAGGCUGCGUUACAGCCUGUGACUGCUCCUGUAGGGCAGGGCUAGCCUGGAGGCAGAGAGUAGCGGCAGAGAGUUUGCAAUCACAUUUAUACCCACUUUUAAUUGCAUGCAGAUUAAAGGGCAGUUUAUGCAGGAAUUUCUAGAAAAUUGGUAACUUUUGAGUCAUUGGGUCAUUGUCAUGGAAAGGGGCAGUAACUCCCGGGUGUUGCCAUGGCAAUAGUAAACUCACAUGGCACAUUGGUGGGCAUGUCUAAUGGAAAGCUGCUUCUGUCCCAGCCCUGUUUUAGCUAGUCCUCAAUUUGGUAUGCUGUCCAAGCCCUGUGGAGUCAAGUCCUGCCUCCUGUCUCACAGUGGCGUGAUCAUGGCUCACUGCAGCCUCAACACCCCCGGGCUCAACAAUUCUCCUACCUCAGCCUCCUGAGUUGCUGGGGCCACAGGCAUGUGCCACUACACCCAGCUAUAGCUUUUUGCAUUUUUUGUAGAGAUGGUGUUUCACUGUGUUGCCUAGGCUUGUCUCAAACUCCUGGGCUCAAGCAAUCUACCUACCUUGGUCUUCUAAAGUGCUGGGAUUGCAGGUGUGAGCUGCUGCACCCAGCCCAACCUUACAUUUUUAAUCUCAAGUCACUUCUCUCUAGGUUUUGAUUUCUUCUUUAAAAUGGUGGAACUAAGAGCAUCUAUUUUAUAGGGUUGUUGGGAAGGCAUAAUGAAAGAACUGCUAUUCGAUGUUUAGUGAAGCUCUGUGCACAAUUUUGAAUAAUGAAGUUGGUGUUUAUUUUUUAUUAUUUGUUUAUUUAUUUUUUAGAGAUGGGGUCUUGCUCUGUUGCUCAAUCUGGAGUGCAGUGGUGCAAUCACAGCUUACUGCAGCCUUGACCUCAUGGGCUCAUGCCACCUCAGCCUCCUGAGUAGCUGGGACUAUAGGCAUGAAUCGCCAUGUCUGGCUAUUUAUUUAUUUGUUUGUUUUUUGUAGAGAUGGGGUCUCCCUAUGUUGCCCGGGCUGGUCUUGAACUCCUGGCCUUAAGCAAUCCUCCUGUCUUGGCCUCCCAAAGCACUGAGAUUACAGGUGGUCAUCCCAUGGUCUCAUGUGAUGAUGACGCUGAGGUGCUCUGCAGGCUCUGUUUCUCAGUGGCUCCCACCAGAUACCCGAUGGUCCUGUCGAUUUGCUGAAUCAUCAACUUCCUGUUCUCUGCCUCUGGCCCGAAUCGAUGUCCCACGUUAUCUGGCUCUCUGUAGCACAGAGUCACAAAGUCAAAGUCUUCCUUGGUGAACCAGUUCAUGACGGUAUCGACGUUCUCCCUCCGCUCUGUCUCGUUGCUGUUUGGGUGAGUGUAGGACUCCACCAGGGACCGCUUGACAGCCUCACCCUCGUAUUUAGCACCUCCCCUGGAAUAGUGGGAUGAUGCUGCUUUUUUCCCCUGUAAGUACAAGAAGAAAAUUCCAUCAGGGCCAUUUCUCAUACCUUUCUCACAAUCAGCAAAGCUCGAGUUGUCUACAUCGGUGUCCCAGUCCAAAGACAUAGAAAAUAUGUGGUCUUUGGAGUCAGACAGGGUGGAGUAAGAUUCUGGGCUUCCCCAGGAUCUCAUAGCAUCUACAACACUGUUAGUUACAAGAUGUGCUAUUAUUUUAUGGGCUACUAAGCAGAAAAAUGCUGCCAACGAGACCGUGACAUUCCAGUGAUUGUAAGGUGUAUUCCAACUUCAGAGAUGGCAAAAUGAAAAAUAAUUCCUUAGAAUAGAGGGAGACGGUAAUUUCUGAGUUGUUGGUGGUGAAUCUGUGCAUGUGUGUUUUUUAUAUAUAUACACACAUAUAUAUACACACACUUAUACAUGUAUAUAUAUGUGUAUAUACAGACAUACCUAUAUACAUAUACAUAUAUAUGUGUAUAUAUAGUGGUGCAGUGGUACAUUUGAACUCCUGGGCUUAAGCGAUCCUCCCACCUCAGCCUCUUGAGUAGCUGGGGUCACAGGCACGUACAACCAUACCUUUUUUUUUUUUUUUUUUUUGAGACACAGUGUCACUCUCUCACCUAGGCUGGAGUGCAGUGGCAUGAUCUCAGCUCACUGCAACUUCUGACUCCUGGGUUCAAGCAAUUCUCGUGCCUCAGCCUCCCAAGUAGCUGGGAUUAUAGACACGUGCCACUAUGCCCAGCUAAGCUUUGUAUUUUUAGUUGAGAUAGAGUUUUGUCGUGUUGGCCAGGCUGGUUUCGAACCCCUGGGCUGAAGUGAUCCACCUGCCUUGGCCUCCCAAAGUGCUGGGAUUACAUGUGUGAGCCACUGCGCCUAGCCCUAAUUUUUUUUUUUUUUUUUUUUUAGUGUUUGUAGAGAUGAGGUCUCGCUAAUUUGCCCAGGCUGGUCCUGAACUCCUGGGUUCAAGUAAUUCUGCCUCAGCCUCUCAAAGUGCUGGGAUUACAGGCAUGAGAAACCGCACCCGGCUGGUGGUGAGUUUUAAAAUUUUCCAGUGUCUCAGUGUUUCUACCUGUAGACUGCCAAAAAGUAGAUGGCAUCUUUGCAAGGAUUAAGCCAACUAGCUUUUUUUUUUUUUUUUGAGACAGAAUUUCUCUCUUGUCACCCAGGCUGGAGUGCAAUGGCGUGACCUUGGCUCACUGCAACCUCUGCCUCCUGGAUUCAAGUGAUUCUCCUCCCUCAGCCUCCCAAGUAGCUGGGAUUACAAAGCCAGCUAGCUUUAAGAUACAGUGUUGGGCAUCACAUUUUGGCACGGAGCAGGCACUCUUUUCUUUGCCCCCAGGUGGGACUAAGCCACCACAAGCCUUCCCUGGUGUGUGCAGUGGGUGAUGAAUGCUUGCCUGCUCAGCACCCACUACAUGCUGGGCUGGGUCACAUUACUCUGACUCCCCCUUGAGCUUCAGUCCGUGCCUGGUUCAAGAUGUAUUGACUCAACUCGAGGAUCCAGAGGUGGGAUGUGGCUCUGGCCUGGCCAGAGGACCGAGGAUGCUGCAUGCCAUGGCUACAGCAACUGGUUCAGCUUUGGGCUCAUGUCCUAGUCAGAGCCAAUGAGAUGUAAUCUUGGGAUAUCUGCUGGGCUGUUGGGAAGGGGACAGGCUGCCCUGCCAUCCCCAUUCCUGAUGCUGAGGGAUCUGAGAAAAUCACUUGUAAAAUUUGGGGGUGUUUGGAAGAAGGGGAGACUGAUGUCUCCUUCUCUCUACAGACAUCUGAUCAGCUACAAAGCUUGACUGACCUGCCCAGAGGCAGAAUGAUAUGGUGAUUAAAAGUGUGCUCUGGGCCAAGAUCUUGCCACUGCACUCCAGCCUGGGUGACAGAGUGAGACUCCGUCUCAAAAAAAAAAAAAAAAAAAAAAAAGUGUGCUCUGGGCUGGGCGUGGGGGCUUACGACUGUAAUCCCAGCACUUUGGGAGGCUGAGGCAGGAGGAUCGCUUGAAGUCAGGAGUUUGGGAUCAGACCCUAUCUCUAGAAAAAUGUUUUCUAAAAAUUAGCUGGAUGGGUGGUGAAUGCCUGUAGUCCCAGCUACUCGGGAGGCUGAGGCGGGAAGAUUGCUGGAGCCCGGGAGUUCAAGGCUGCAGUGAGCUAUGAUCAGGCCACUGCACUCCAGUUUGAGGGACAGAGAGAGACCCCAUCUCCCUAAAGAACAAAAAAGUGUGCUCUGGUGCCGCACUGCCUGGUUAGAUCCUUUGUCCAGCACUUAGAUGCCUGUUACAUAAAUGCUCUCCUCAGUUUCCUUGUCUGUAACUUGGGGAUGAUAAUGCUGCCCCAUGAAGUGGUUAUGGGGACUAAAUGCAUGUGGGCACAUUGGUAAGUAUUCAACAAGCUUGAUUUUUCCUGGAGAGGGAGAAAGAGCAUACAGUGAAGUGGCAAGGUCAGGUGCAUUGGGGCAAGGAUUAUUUCCUCUGGCUUCUGCCUCCUAGGAGGUACUAAGGAUGGAUCUGAAAUGUGUCUGCAGACCCCAGAGUUGGGGACUGCAGAGGGAAAUUGAGAUCAGGGACCCCAGUCUGGCAGAAAUGGGUGCAGCAUGGGGCAUUGGGUUCCUUCCAUCAGAGGCAUGGUGUGUGUUGCAGACAGUCAUGAGAUGUGGCUGAAUCUUGCAAGGGAGCCGCAGUCCUAGGGUUGCUGCUUGAGACAAAGAGGGCUGUCAGUGGAACCUGGUGACCUUCACCCUUCUGUGUCAGGCUGCAGACAGCAAGAGAUGGCAGCAGAUUACACCCAACAGGAAAAGGGCCAUUGCCAUCCCACAGGUUGCCAUAGGAGGAGAUGACAUCUCUUCCCUCUCCUCCUCCAGCAGCGUCAGCUGGGGAAGAGGUGGGUGGGUGUGCACAGAAGAGUAGACCGCAGACCAUGCUCCUUCUCCUCUAGUCUGCUGGGGCCCCAAGAGAGUCUGCAGCCCUUGGCCAGGGACCGGCUGACACAGGAGAACAAAAGAUCUCAGGCUGGGAUAACAUGGUGGUGCAGUUCAUCCUCUGGAGCUCCCUGUGAGAUCAGACUGGAGCCAGUCUCCAGCUGAGACCACAUCACACUUAGCUCCUUCCCUGCCAUAUCCUGUUUUCCUUACUCCUAUCUCCUGAGUGUCCUGAAUGAAUUACAUGCACUCAAUCCCUGCCUCAGGCUCUGUUUUUAGGGAACUUGACCUAAGACAGAUAUCUUAGUACUAAAUACUUUGCAAGGCCUCAGAAGCUCUGCUAUCCACAGGCAGGUGAGAUAUUACCUUCCCUACCACCUGGCAGUCAUAGUCUAUGAUGCGAUUCAGCUUUGUGGAAGUGCUUCUCUAAAGAACUUCCCCAAUUUAUGAUGAUCUUAAUUUGCUUACUUGUUUACUGUCCAUUUAGCUGCUCUAAAAUGUGAGCUCCAAAUCAGGGGCCAUGUCUUGUUGGUUACCCAUUUCCUGGGACAUAGAAUGGGCCUAGCACAGAGCAGGUGCUCACUAUUGAUGGAAUGCAUGUUGAAAGAAUGCGUGAAUCUCAUCUCCUUUUGUGGGUGAAAAACUCAUCCUAUUCUCAUCCUGAUUAACUUUUUUCUUUCUUUCUUUCUUUCUUUCUUUCUUUCUUUCUUUCUUUCUUUCUUUCUUUCUUUUUUUUCAAAACGGAGCCAUGAUCUGUCACCCAGGCUGGAGUGCAAUGGUGCGAUCUUGGCUCGCUGCAACCUCUGCCUUCUGGAUUAAAGCAAUUCUCCUGCCUCAGCCUCCCGGGUAGCUGGGAUUACAGGUGCAUGCCACCACGCCCAGCUAAUUUUUUGUAUUUUUAGUAGAGACAGGGUUUCACCAUGUUGGCCAGGCUGGUCUCAAACUCCUGACCUUGUGGUCUGCCCGCUUUGGCCUCCCAAAGUCCUGGGAUUACAGGCAUGAGCCACCGUACCCAGCCACUCUUGAUUAACUUAAUGAAAAUAUUUACAGAGAUUCUUUCUCUUCUGGGUUCUAGCGUCUUAUCUGUAACCUCUGCAGGUAAUACAUUUUCCUUCCUGAUAAUAGCAUUUCUAUGGUUGCUUUCACUUGCAAAUCCUCUAAUACUGAUUUAUUCCAUUUCUGAUUGGCAUUAGACAUAAUUCUCCAUUUUUAAUGACAGCACUUUUGUUAACUUACCUAUAAAUCGACUUUGCCUUGAAAUGUGACAUUGACUAGAAGGGUGAAACUUCUAACAUGCUGUAGAACAUAGUUUGACUGGCUAACUUAUUAUUUAGAAGAAGCUAAUAUUGCCAUUAUGAGGGACUUAGGUGGCUCUGAAGAACCAGUUGUAUUUCUGAUGUUUGCAAUGUUAAAUCGUAGAUAUUGCCAACGUGAAAUAGUUUCCGUAUGCUGUGUUCUCAAUACACACUUUUCCAAAGAUAUCCCAAGCUGUAGUCUUAGGAAACUGUGAUUUUUCUUAUUUGGUCUCAUAGGAAUUUGGGGAGCUAUGCGGGAUCUCCAUAAAAUGAGCUCCAGAAAGACACAUGUGUGCGUGCGCACACACACACUCACACACACACACUCACACACACUCACACACUCACACACACUCACACACAUACACACACUCACACACACUCACACACACUCCCACACACUCACACACACUCACACACACAUACACACACUCACACACAUACACACACUCACACACACUCACACACACAUACACACACACAUACACACACACUCACACACACACACACAUACACACACACACACACAUGUACCACACAAUUGACCCUGGUUAUUUGGGACCCAUGAUUAUUUUCAACAAACGCUUCUGAGAAAUAAUCUGAACACUUAAUUGGAUGCAAAAGAGUGGGUAUUUACUAUUCUACCCUUUAAUUAGCAUAAUCAGUGUUUCCAGCAGCAAAAGCAAUUGGAAAAGCGCUAGUUUUAUUAGGUUCAUUAUUCUCCCUUAGCGUAGUGUGGCAUCAGCAUGGCUAUUAUUCUUAAAUUGCCUCUUUAAAACAAGGGCUUGUGCUUCUUACAGGCAAUCCCUAACUCUUGAGUUUUGUAGAGAGUCCAAAACUCUUUAGAACCUGUAAUUCAAGGAAAGGCUCCACUUUGGUUUUGCAUUUUUUCUGGUCUCUUUGGGUGACAGAAUUUAUGUCACAAGGUGCACAUGUUUGGGGGAGGCUCAUGGACAGCCCAUCGCGCCUGUGCUUUGGUAGGAAGUACGUGCCGUUAAGGGGAAGGAGUUAGUUACUGAUUCUAGGGAACAAUUGGGUAGAAAGAGAUGGACUCCCUGUGUUUGAAAUUCAGAACUCAAGCUUGGCUCUAAGUGUUUCCUCGCUUUGCUGUGCUCCAGGGGAGUCACUGAGCAGAAGGAAGCGAGUUGCCUGAGAUUCCUCAAAGCCCGCAGCCCUUUUGGAGGUUACAUUAUUAUUCUCAGAGCCUUUAUGGUGCAUAAUAAAGACCUAGCUUGGACCAACAUUAGGAUGAGUUAUCUUGCUAUGAACAUUCUUUUAGGUAGAAGUUGCUGGUCCCAUCUUGCUCACAAUCCUCCAAAGUUUGAAAGUGAUUUUCCAGGAGACUUGGCUUGCACUGAGAGCUGCCCUCCCACCCUCUCUCCAAAUUUCCCCUUGGGGGUAGCCUAACAAGGUGCUGUCACAGACCCUUGCCAGCCACGAUGACCCCACCCAGACCAUCCCUCUGCUGGUUCACUCUUUGAUACUCUCUGGAGCUCUCUGGGGAGGGGUGAGACCUGCCGUCUGGUUUGUAUGGUUUGCCCAGGUCCUACAGUCAUGGCUGGCUGCCUCUCUCUGAGAACUGGGACUCCUGAACUUGGUGAAAUACCUCAGCCAUCAAUCUUGUUGAAUUACUGGGGACACUCAUUUAAAAUCGGAGCCUGUUCCAGAUAGACUCUCUCUCUCUUUCUGCCCUGACGGUGAGAGAAGCCCUGCUGGACGGUGGAGACGCUCGUGGGCUGUGAGCAAGGGAUGCAAAGUCUGCCGGGAAUCCCAUGUUUCCAGCAUCAUCUGCCAAGGCACAUCAGUUCCUGGGUAUCUGGAUGGGUUCUGGCAGCAUUACUGUCAUUGAAGGAAAAAUUUUAGCCAUAUUAAAGGUGAAUGCAGCAAUCUCCACACAGGCUGCCUGGAAGGGACGCAGGACAAGGGUAGGUAUUCCUUGUGAUGGACAGGAGGCAGGUGGCCCUCCCACAGCCCUGCCUGGCAAUGCAGAUGUGUCCCCAUGAGGCACUGGGGGCCAGCUGGAGUGCUGUGCCGAGGCGGGCUCACCCGGGCCGUGGGUUCGCUCUGAUUGCAGCGGUUUCCCGCCAGCUCCUUGGAGAGCCGGCAGAUGGCCCAGACCCACAGCAGGAGCCGCGAAUGGCAGAACGAGAUACAAUUUGAUAUCCACUUGCCAGAUGAGCCGGCUGUGGUCAGUCGCCUGGCUCUGUGCCCAACCUCUUUUUGCAUAAACACUUAUGAAUUCAGCCAAGAGGAAAAGCACUCUGAUUAUGAAUUGAGUAGAAGGAAACAAAAUUCUGCAGAUAAACACCAAUGAGACAAAAAACCACGAAUAAGAAAAAUGACAGAAAAGGAGAACCUUCCCAGAAGCCUCCUGCCAGUGAACCGCCACCAGAGCAAGAGCAUGGAGAGGCCCUGGGUUUUGAACUGUGAGAUAAGGAAGAUGAUGAAAACCUCCCUAGCAGCCAGGCAAGCACAAGAUUCCUGUGAAAUCCAGGUCUAAGUGUUUUGACCACAGAAGUAAUAUUAUAUCAUAGGUGAGAGCUGUGAGUUGCUGAACCCAAAGUGAGUUCGAAUCCGAGUUCUGCCUCCUGCAACCUGUGUGACUUUGAGAAGUUCCAGCACCGCUUUGUGCCUCAGUUUUGUCAUCUGUUAAAUGGGCAUAAUCACAGCUCCUGCCUCAGAGUUGUUGUAAAUUAAUACAUGUAAAGCACUGAUAUCAGCCUUGUAUACAGUAAGUGUUAUGAACGUUAUUUUCUUGGAAGGACAGAACUUCUUUUCAUGGUCUAAGCCUGAAAAUCUAAAAAAUGUGAGAGAAGAGGAAAGAAUCUAGAGUGUCACCAUGAGGGGGAAAAGUCAACUUGAAGCAGGACAGGGUCAUUGACAAUUUCCUGUGAUUCUACAGCUGCCUUGUACACUAUGGUAGCUCCUAGCCACUUGUUGUUUAGAUUUCAUGAUUUAGAAAUGAAUUAAGGCCAGGCGUGGUGGCUCAUGCCUGUAAUCCCAGCACUUUGGGAGGCCAAGGUGGGCAGAUCACCUGAGGUCAGGAGUUCAAGAUCAGCCUGGCCAAUAUGGUGAAAUCCUAUCUCUACAAAAAUACAAAAAUUAGCAGGGCAUGAAGGCGCGUUCCUGUAAUCCCAGGUACUCAGGAGGCUGAGGAAGGAGAAUUGCUUGAACCUGGGAGAUGGAGGUUGCAGUGAGACGAGAUUGUGCCACUGCACUCCAGCCUGGGGAAUAGAGUGAGACUCUGUCUCAAAAAAAAAAAUUAGUUAAAAUAAGAGAAAAUUGAAAAUUCAGCUCUUCAUUCUCACCAGCCACAUUUCAAGGGCUCAACAGCCCAUGUGGGUGGCUAGCAGCUCCCAUGUUGGACAGUGCAGGGUAGAGCAAGUCCACCAUUGCAGAAUGUUUGAUUGGACCGUGACUGAAUAGUCUAUUGCAGUGGUCCCCAAUUUUUUUUUAGCACCAAGGACCAGUUUCCAUGGAUUUGUGGGGGGAAGUUUCAGUAUGAUUCAAGUGCAUUACAUUUAUUGUGUACUUUAUUUCUAUUGUUAUGAACAUUAUAAUAUAUAAUGAAAUCAUUAUACAACUCACCAUAAUGUAGAAUCAGUGGGAGCCCUGUGCUUGUCUUCCUGCAACUAGAUAAUCCCAUCUCAGGGUGGUGGGAGACGGUGACAGAUCAUCAGGCAUUAGAUUCUCAUAAGGAGCACACAACCUAGAUCCCUUCCACAUGCAGUUCACAAUAGGGUUGGUGCUCCUAUCAGAAUCUAAUGCCACUGCUGAUCUGACAGGAGACAGAGCUCAGCCAGGGGGAUCAGCUGUAAAUACAGAUGAAGCUUAACUCACUAGCCUGCUGCUCACCUCCUUCUGUGCAACCCAGUUCCUAACAGGCCACAGACCACUACUGGUCCGUGGUCUGGGGGCUGGGGACCUCUGGUCUAUUGGAUAACACUGGCUUGGAGCAUACUGAUCAGCCAAUGAAGCGCUGAGAUGAUUUGGCCUCCAUUAGUAAGAAUGAUGGACUUUUUUGUUUUUUUUUUGAGACAGAGUUUCACUCUUGUUGCCCAGGCUGGAGUGCAGUGGCACCAUCUCAGCUCACUGCAACCUCUGCCUCCCAGGUUCAAGUGAUUCUCAUGCCUCAGCCUCCCAAGUAGCUGGAAUUACAGGUUCCUGCCACCAUGCCUGGCUAAUUUUUAUAUUUUUAGUAGAGUCGGGGUUUUGCCAUGUUGACCAGGCUGGUCUUGAAUUCCCGACCUCAAGUGAUCCACCUGCCUUGGUCUCCCGAAGUGCUGGGAUUACAGGCGUGAGACACCACACCUGGCCAGAUGGACUUUUUUUGAGCAUUUAGUUCCAAGCACCUUCCCUGCACUUUCUCAGUUAAUCCUCCCAGUGACUCUUUGAAGCAGGGACUAUGACAAUCUUCAUUUCCCAGAUGGAGCAACUCAGGCACAGAGAGCAAGUCAUUGGCCACGGUCUCCCAGCUGAGGAAGGAUGGAGCCGGCUGAGAUCCUGUUCUGGGGAUCUAACUGCAGCCUGCAUUCUGGGCUGUUGUAUUCUCCCAUGUUGCUAUCUGACGAGCACAGCAUGGGCUCAGAGUACAGAGAGGAGGAACCAGGUAAUAAGGAGAGGCCUGGGAGAAGGCUGGUGCCUUGGGGAGGAAGAGAGAGGCCCCAUUCUAAAGGGAUGGCAUUGGAAGCUCAUAGUGAUAAAGCAAAGCCGACAGGUUGUGGGGCUGGGAGUUAAACACACAGCUCUGGUUUCUGCCUUUUCACAGUGGUGAUGAAUGGGCACUGAGACCCUCUCGAGCUAAAGUUGUCAUCACUGCUCUUCAUAGUCUGAAGGUGCAUGAAAUGGUCAACUUUCUUCCAAAGGGCUUUUAUGCCUAAGUCUGUGGUUAGUGUCUAAACAGAUAUUUACUGAAGUCCUGCUGGGUGCAGACACUGUGGCCAGCCCUGAGGCUACAGUCGAGAUGAAGCCAGUCUCUGUCCUCAUGGAGACCUGUCUAUUGAUAAGAAAAGAGAAAGCUCACUGAGCAUUGACCCUGUGCCCACUGCUUUUGAUGCAUCUCUCAUUUAAUCCUUCUAUGAAAUCUGUGAAAUAAACACAUCACCAUCAUCCCUAUUUCACAUUUAGGGAAACAUAUGCUUAGAGAGCGUAAGUAACUUGGUCAAGGUCGCACAGAUUCGAACUCUCAUCCCACAGGUGCAGGAAUGAGAGGCAGCAGCUGGGGAAGCCAGGGUCUCCGGAAGUCCUUGUCUCAGGGCGGUGAUCCAGAGAGAGAGAGAACACGAUUGUCUCAGCAAUGGGUCUUCUUCUGCAUCUUGAAGGAGCACUUCCAGAGCCUCUCGGUGUUAAACAUCAUGUUGUGAAUGACUCCGUGAGCUCUGACCCAGUGACCUUGGGGAUAAAGGAGGGGAGGUACGGAGAAGCUCUUCGAAUGGAUGUUGCCGGGGUCUCAGUGUUCUUUGAGGGCACAGACUAUGUGUCACCAAAGAAAGAGCCCAGUGCCUUUUCUCAUUGCUCAAGAGAUUGAAGGUGUAGGAAGAAAAGAUGUUAAGUUAUAAACGCAUUUCCAUUUUGGUACCAGUUGAAGCAAUUUACGUUUUGAAGAGGAAAGAGUCUUGCCUACAAAGUCAGCCCCAGGGUUUUCCUUCUGCUUAUGGAAUCCAGGCAAUGGGCAAAGAGAAAAAGAAAACUAAGGAAUCAGCCAGGUGCAGUGGCUCAUGCUUGUAAUCUUGGCACUUUGGGAAGCUGAGGCAGGUGGACUUCUUGAGUCCAGGAGUUCAAACCAGCCUGGCCAACAGAGUGAGACCCCGUUUCUACAAAAAAUACAAAAAGUUGCUGAGCAUGGUGGCAUGCACCUGUAGUCCCAGUUACUUGGGAGGCUGAGGUGGGAGAACUACUUCAUCCCAGGAGGUUGAGGCUGCAGUGAGCCAUGAUCGUGCCACUAUACUCCAGCUGGGUGGCAGAGUGAGGCCCUGUCUCAAAAGAAAACAAAAGGGAUAAGAAAAAGAAAACUAGGGAAUCUAGACAGAAUAAGUUUAUAUAUAUAAUAAAGAACUGAGAUAGAA